rnacentral:rRNA from 1 species
AACGAACGCUGGCGGCAUGCCUAACACAUGCAAGUCGAACGAGACCUUCGGGUUUAGUGGCGCACUGGUGCGUAACUCGUGGGAACCUGCCCUUUGGUUCGGAAUAACUUCCCGAAAGGGGUGCUAAUACCGGAUAAUGUCUUCGGACCAAAGAUUUAUCGCCUUUGGAUGGGCCCGCGUUGGAUUAGCUAGUUGGUAGGGUAAAAGCCUACCAAGGCGACGAUCCAUAGCUGGUCUGAGAGGAUGAUCAGCCACACUGGGACUGAGACACGGCCCAGACUCCUACGGGAGGCAGCAGUGGGGAAUAUUGGACAAUGGGAGAAAGACUGAUCCAGCAAUGCCGCGUGAGUGAUGAAGGCCUUAGGGUUGUAAAGCUCUUUUACCCGGGAAGAUAAUGACAGUACCGGGAGAAUAAGCUCCGGCUAACUCAGUG